rnacentral:rRNA from 1 species
CACGUAGGGGCAGCGUUGUCCGGAUUUAUUGGGUCGUAAAGAGCUCGUAGGUGGUUCGGUAAGUCGGGUGUUAACCCCCAGGCUCAACCUGGGAACGCCACUCGAUACUUGGCUGUGGACUAGAGUCCGGUAGGGGAGCGGUGGGAAAUUCCGUGGUGGUAGCUGGUGGUAAAAUGCGCGGAUAAUCAGGAGGAACACCGGUGGCGAAGGCGGGUCUCUGGGCAGUAACUGACGCUGAGGAGCGAAAGCGUGGGGAGCGAACAGG